rnacentral:rRNA from 1 species
GGCCAGACUCCUACGGGAGGCAGCAGUGGGGGAUAUUGCACAAUGGGGGGAACCCUGAUGCAGCGACGCCGCGUGGAGGAAGAAGUAUCUCGGUAUGUAAACUCCUAUCAGCAGGGAAGAAAGAAGACGGUACCUGACUAAGAAGCCCCGGCUAACUACGUGCCAGCAGCCGCGGUAAUACGUAGGGGGCGAGCGUUAUCCGGAUUUACUGGGUGUAAAGGGAGCGUAGACGGCAAUGCAAGCCAGAUGUGAAAGCCCGGGGCUCAACCCCGGGACUGCAUUUGGAACUGUGUAGCUGGAGUGUCGGAGAGGCAGGCGGAAUUCCUAGUGUAGCGGUGAAAUGCGUAGAUAUUAGGAGGAACACCAGUGGCGAAGGCGGCCUGCUGGACGAUGACUGACGUUGAGGCUCGAAAGCGUGGGGAGCAAACAAGAUUAGAUACCCUCGUAU